AGAGUUUGAUCAUGGCUCAGAUUGAACGCUGGCGGAAUGCUUUACACAUGCAAGUCGAACGGCAGCACGGGGGCAACCCUGGUGGCGAGUGGCGAACGGGUGAGUAAUACAUCGGAACGUGCCCAGUCGUGGGGGGAUAACGUAGCGAAAGCUACGCUAAUACCGCAUACGAACUCUGGUUGAAAGCGGGGGAUCGCAAGACCUCGCGCGAUUGGAGCGGCCGAUGGCAGAUUAGGUAGUUGGUGGGGUAAAGGCUCACCAAGCCGACGAUCUGUAGCUGGUCUGAGAGGACGACCAGCCACACUGGGACUGAGACACGGCCCAGACUCCUACGGGAGGCAGCAGUGGGGAAUUUUGGACAAUGGGCGCAAGCCUGAUCCAGCCAUUCCGCGUGCAGGAUGAAGGCCCUCGGGUUGUAAACUGCUUUUGUACGGAACGAAACGCGCUGAGUUAAUACCUCGGCGUAAUGACGGUACCGUAAGAAUAAGCACCGGCUAACUACGUGCCAGCAGCCGCGGUAAUACGUAGGGUGCAAGCGUUAAUCGGAAUUACUGGGCGUAAAGCGUGCGCAGGCGGUUAUGUAAGACAGGUGUGAAAUCCCCGGGCUUAACCUGGGAACUGCAUUUGUGACUGCAUAGCUAGAGUACGGUAGAGGGGGAUGGAAUUCCGCGUGUAGCAGUGAAAUGCGUAGAUAUGCGGAGGAACACCGAUGGCGAAGGCAAUCCCCUGGACCUGUACUGACGCUCAUGCACGAAAGCGUGGGGAGCAAACAGGAUUAGAUACCCUAGUAGUCC
rnacentral:rRNA from 1 species